GAUGAAGAAACGUAGCGAAAUGCGAUAAGUAGUGUGAAUUGCAGAAUUCAGCGAAUCAUCGAAUCCUUGAACGCACAUUGCGCCCUUCGGUUAUUCCUUAGGGCAUGCCUGUUCGAGCGUCAUUUCAACCUUCAAGCCUGGCUUGGUGUUGGGCGCUGUCCCGCCUCCGCGCGCGGACUCGCCCCAAAUGAAUUGGCAGUCGCACCCUCCGAGCCGCGAGCGCAGCACAAGUCGCGCGGGCGGAACUCUGGGGGGACGGACGCUCCACAAGACCCUUUCUCAGUCUUGACCUCGGAUCAGGUAGGGAUACCCGCUGAACUUAAGCAUAUCAAUAAGCGGAGGA
rnacentral:misc_RNA from 1 species